rnacentral:rRNA from 1 species
UACAGAGGUCUCAAGCGUUGUUCGGAUUCAUUGGGCGUAAAGGGUGCGUAGGCGGCGCGGUAAGUCGGGUGUGAAAUCUCGGAGCUUAACUCCGAAACUGCAUUCGAUACUGCCGUGCUUGAGGACUGGAGAGGAGACUGGAAUUUACGGUGUAGCGGUGAAAUGCGUAGAUAUCUGGAGGAACACCGGUGGCGAAGGCGGCGUUCUGGACUGUCUCUGACACUGAAGAACGAAAGCCAGGGGAGCAAACGGG